ACGCUCGACACCUACGGGAGGCCGCAGUGAGGAAUAUUGGUCAAUGGACGCAAGUCUGAACCAGCCAUGCCGCGUGCAGGAUGACGGCUCUAUGAGUUGUAAACUGCUUUUGUACGAGGGUAAACGCAGAUACGUGUAUCUGUCUGAAAGUAUCGUACGAAUAAGGAUCGGCUAACUCCGUGCCAGCAGCUGCGGUAAUCUGAGCGGGCUGGCAAGGC
rnacentral:rRNA from 1 species